rnacentral:misc_RNA from 1 species
GAUGAAGAACGUAGCGAAAUGCGUUAAGUAAUGUGAAUUGCAGAAUUCAGUGAAUCAUCGAAUCUUUGAACGCACAUUGCGCCCGCCAGUAUUCUGGCGGGCAUGCCUGUCUGAGCGUCAUUUCAACCCUCAUGCCCCUAGGGCGUGGUGUUGGGGAUCGGCCAAAGCCCGCGAGGGACGGCCGGCCCCUAAAUCUAGUGGCGGACCCGUCGUGGCCUCCUCUGCGAAGUAGUGAUAUUCCGCAUCGGAGAGCGACGAGCCCCUGCCGUUAAACCCCCAACUUUCCAAGGUUGACCUCAGAUCAGGAAGGAAUACCCGCUGAACUUAAGCAUAUCAAUAAGCGGAGGA